rnacentral:rRNA from 1 species
AUACGAGGGGUGCAAGCGUUAAUCGGAAUUACUGGGCGUAAAGCGUUCGUAGGCGGUUUGUUAAGCAAGAUGUGAAAGCCCUGGGCUCAACCUGGGAACUGCAUUUUGAACUGGCAAGCUAGAAUACUGUAGAGGGUGGUGGAAUUUCCAGUGUAGCGGUGAAAUGCGUAGAGAUUGGAAGGAACAUACGUGGCGAAGGCGGCCACCUGGACAGAUAUUGACGCUGAGGAACGAAAGCGUGGGGAGCGAACAGGAUUAGAAACCCCAGUAGUCC